GCUCAGGUUGGACAGCAGGAUGAAUUUCUCCCUGGAAAGGGUGGUCAGGCCUUGGCAGGGGCUGCCCAGGGAGGUGGUGGAGUCCCCAUCCCUGGAGGUGUCCAAGGAAGGCCUGGCCGUGGCACUCAGUGCUCUGGGCUGGGGGACAAGGUGUUGUCUGGUGAAAGGUUGCGCUUGAUGAUCUUGGAGGUCUUUUCCAGUUUUAAGGAUUCUGUGAGUUAAUGUGAGAGUUGGGAAUCCAUUGAGUAUGAACCUUGUACCUUUUUUGUAAUUCUGUUUUUCAGUUUGAUAGCUUCUUUGGCUUCUUCUAUAGAGCUUUUCUAAUUAAGAUCCAGUCUCAGGCUGUUUUAACAUCUCUUAUAGUCUCUUGUACUAUUAGUUAUUCUUGAUUUUUUGGAUGUUUUCUAGUACUAACGGUUGUCUGGUGGUAGCACUGGGUUAGAACAGCUGCAAGAUCUCAGUUUAGUUCCAAAAAACUUAGCGAAUAGACCUCGAAAAACAGAGAAGAGCUGUAUUGUCUUGGUUUUGAACAACAAACAUAAUCCACUUUGUCUCCAGAACUUCAGCUGAUGUGAAUCUCUGACGUUUAUCAUUAUGUUAUUGCUCUCCAAUGGAUCCUUUCUGAGACAUAGGAAUUGCAACCUGGACAAAGCCAGAGCUCCCCUAACCUGCCUCAAAUGGCAGCUGAUAGGAGGCUCUGCAGAGGGAUACUGGGAAAAUCUCUUAUGCACCAUUCUGGAAAAACACCUGCCUGGAGGCUGUUAAACUUCUGGUCUGAAAUUCUGGAGUGAAUUAUUAAAGUAAAGAGAGCUUUUGAAUCAUGGAAUCAUAUAAUCAUUAAGGUUGGGAAAGACCUCUAAGAUCAUCGUAUCCAGCCAUCCACCGAGCACCACCAUCUUGUUCACCAUUAAACCAUGUCCUCAAAUGCCACAGCCACACAGUUUUUGAACAAUUCUAGGGAUGGCAUCUCCACCACUGCCCAGGGCAGCUUUGACAACCCUUUCCAUGAAGAAAUUUUACCUAAUAUCCAGUGAAAACCUCCCCUGGCACAGCUGGAGGCCGUUCCCUCUCCUCCUGUCCCUUGUUCCCUGGCAGCAGAGCCCGACCCCCCCCCCGGCUCCCCCCUCCUGUCAGGGACUUGCAGAGCCAGAAGGUCCCCCCUGAGCCUCCUUUUCUCCAGGCUGAGCCCCCCCAGCUCCCUCAGCCGCUCCUGCUGCUCCAGCCCCUUCCCCAGCUCCGUUCCCUUCCCUGCACACGCUCCAGCCCCUCCGGGUCUCUCCUGUUGAGGGCCCAGAACUGGGCCCAGCCCUCGCGGUCCCUCAGCGGUGCCAGCACAGGGACGGGCACUGCCCUGGGGCUGUGCCCACACCAUGGCUGGCACAGCCCAGGGGCCCUUGGCCUUCUUGCCCCCCUGGGCACACCCGGGCUCGUGUCCAGCCGCUGUCACCAGCACCCCCAGGGCCUUUCCCAGCUUUGCAGCCCCUCUGCCCCAGCCUGGAGCUGCAGGGGUUGGUGUGACCCAAGGGCAGGACCCGGCACUGGGCCUUGUUGUAUUUCAUACAAUUGCCCUUGGCCCAUUAAUCCAGACUGUCCAGAUUCCUCUGCAAAGCCUUCCUGCCCUCCAGCAGAUCCACUGUCCUACCCAGCUUGGUGUCAUCUGCAAACCAGCUGAGGGCAAUCAGCCCCUGGUCCAUAUCAUUGAUGAAGGUAUUAAACAGGACUGGCCUGGAUAUUGAGCCCGGGGAACAUCACCGAUGACCAUAUAGAGCACAAAAACCUCUCAAGGCUUGGGCACGUGUUCACCUUUGGCACCCUCCCAGGAAAGGACCCAUGAGUACCAGGUUUUGGUUACUUCUGGCAUGAUGGAGACUCAAACACAGCCACAGCAGGGAAGCCCCCUGGGCUGGGGCAGCUCUGGCCUCAGCCUCUCCUUGGUUCAUGUUACAUAUCUGUGAAAUGCAGGCUGCUGACUACAGUCAAAUUACCUACAAAACAAGAAGUCAGCUGAGAUAAAGAAUUGGAGAAAAUGGCUCUGGUUGUCUGAGGUGCUCUGCAAUAUUUGUCAUCUGCGGAUUAGCAGCAAUCAGCAAAACUCACAAUAAGCGUCCCUGGCAGGUCAGAUGCUGGACAUGGCCUUUGGCACCCUGGUUCAUCUGAAGGAUACAAGGAAGUAUCAGUAGAUGGGUGAAUCUCAGAUGAUGGUGAAGUGUUCC